rnacentral:rRNA from 1 species
UCACGCAUCGCGUCUCCCCCAAAUCCACCUAGGUGGAGGGGAAGGAGGAUGGUUUCCCGUGUCUCACCGGCCACGGUUAGCCUAAAAUAGGAGCCCUCGGCAUCGGGUUGCCGCGGCGAUAGGUGGUGAACAAGCUUCGGCCAAGCAAGCAACCCGUCGCGCAUCGCCAUGCCAACGUGAGCUCGAAGGACCCUUUCAUGUUGCCAAAAAGCAACAAAACCGUUGCGAC